CCUACGGGGGGCUGCAGUGAGGAAUAUUGGUCAAUGGCCGCAGGGCUGAACCAGCCAAGUCGCGUGAGGGAUGACGGUCCUAUGGAUUGUAAACCUCUUUUGUCAGGGAGCAAAGGGCGCCACGUGUGGCGUUUUGCGAGUACCUGAAGAAAAAGCAUCGGCUAACUCCGUGCCAGCAGCCGCGGUAAUACGGAGGAUGCGAGCGUUAUCCGGAUUUAUUGGGUUUAAAGGGUGCGCAGGCGGAAUGUCAAGUCAGCGGUAAAAUUUCGGGGCUCAACCCCGUCGUGCCGUUGAAACUGGCGUUCUUGAGUGAGCGAGAAGUAUGCGGAAUGCGUGGUGUAGCGGUGAAAUGCAUAGAUAUCUGGAGGAACAUCAGUGGCGAAGGCGACUAUCUGGCACAUAACUGACGCUGAGGAGCGAAAGCGUGGGUAGCAAACAGGAUUAGAUACCCGGGUAGUC
rnacentral:rRNA from 1 species